rnacentral:lncRNA from 1 species
CAUUUCUGAUACCUCAACUUAUAUGUGUGCAUUGAUAGUACUGCACUGUUUUGUCUUCAGCACCAGCAAGUCAAGCUAAAUAAAGCCGCAGCUUCAAGUUCGACUGCACUGCUCAACAGGGAAGAGAAACCAACUCCUCCAGCAGUAGCAUACUCAAAUCUAAGCCUUGAAAACCAUAACAUCUACCAUAGUACUCCGCACAUACUCUAAAGGAAGCGUGCAAAAACUUCUGAUCUACUGUGUCUUUGGUAAAGGUUUGGGGAUAGCACUCGUCCCUGUAGACCUUACCUCAUAUUAUGAUCAUCUACUUUAUUGUGUAACGGAUCUUUUAGUUACCUCCCCGCCCAUCCAUGUACACAGAAGGGCCAUGUACAUGGCGAAGCUAGAGACUGUAACCUGAAGAUUGGGGACAAAUUAAAGAAAACAUGUGAUUCAACAGGAUUACAUAAGGUUAAGUUAGGGUCAAACAAGAAAAGCCAUUUAAUUACUUGGCAUUAAGUACAUAGUUACACCUGGACAUCCGACAUCUCCAAGGUUAGCAACUACUUCAGAACAGCAUCACUAUGGUCCCGCGUUUAAGCUCAGCCUGUUCCUCCUACCCCAGCUCCUCACGGAACCUCGCUAAGGCACGCCACAAUAAGCACAUGUAAGACAUCUCUCGCCUAAAAGCAAGCGGUGCAGAACCUCACCUUCGGACGACCACUGUUCUUUCGGCACCUCCGCAACGAGACAGUGGUAGAACGGGUGCUCGCCAAAGCCGUCCUCAAGCAGCUCUUUCUCGGUUAGCACCACUUGAUCCUCCAUGUCCUCGUACUUGGCUAGUUCCUUGAUCAGUCGCAGCAGGUCGGAGCAGUCCUCGGGACGCGCGGCGCGGAUACUGAACGAAGCCAUUUUCGACGGCGUUUCCCCCUGCGGCCCCCUCGGCUGACGAGUCCCCGGUGUGUGAACAGGAGGAGCAGCUGUUUCUUCAUUCGUGUCCCGGGCGCGGCGGCCACCUGCGGUCAGUCAGGCUGCGAGCAUGUCCCGGCGGCGUUCAGCAGGCAGACGACUCACCCACCGACUUCGGCGACGGCUGGAACUCAACUGUGCCUCCGCCGGCGUCUCCGCCUCCAUUUAUAGACGACGGCGCUCCGCCUCCCCCGCACGAGAGCCAAUGGGAGCGCCCGCAGCUCUCGCCCCCAGCCAAUGGCAGCGCCCCUCCCCGGAAUCUUGCCUCGCCCUGCCAGCAACAGCUGCUGCGGAUGUCUCGUG